rnacentral:rRNA from 1 species
GCCUAGAUGAUUUUAGUGCUUGCACUAAAUGAAACUAGAUACAAGCGAGCGGCGGACGGGUGAGUAACACGUUGGUAACCUGCCCAAGAGACUGGGAUAACACCUGGAAACAGAUGCUAAUACCGGAUAACAACACUAGACGCAUGUCUAGAGUUUGAAAGAUGGUUCUGCUAUCACUCUUGGAUGGACCUGCGGUGCAUUAGCUAGUUGGUAAGGUAACGGCUUACCAAGGCAAUGAUGCAUAGCCGAGUUGAGAGACUGAUCGGCCACAUUGGGACUGAGACACGGCCCAAACUCCUACGGGAGGCAGCAGUAGGGAAUCUUCCACAAUGGACGAAAGUCUGAUGGAGCAACGCCGCGUGAGUGAAGAAGGGUUUCGGCUCGUAAAGCUCUGUUGGUAGUGAAGAAAGAUAGAGGUAGUAACUGGCCUUUAUUUGACGGUAAUUACUUAGAAAGUCACGGCUAACUACGUGCCAGCAGCCGCGGUAAUACGUAGGUGGCAAGCGUUGUCCGGAUUUAUUGGGCGUAAAGCGAGUGCAGGCGGUUCAAUAAGUCUGAUGUGAAAGCCUUCGGCUCAACCGGAGA